CUUCGGGGGUAGAGCACUGUUUCGGCUAGGGGGUCAUCCCGACUUACCAAACCGAUGCAAACUCCGAAUACCGAAGAAUGUUAUCACGGGAGACACACGGCGGGUGCUAACGUCCGUCGUGAAGAGGGAAACAACCCAGACCGCCAGCUAAGGUCCCAAAGUCAUGGUUAAGUGGGAAACGAUGUGGGAAGGCACAGACAGCCAGGAUGUUGGCUUAGAAGCAGCCAUCAUUUAAAGAAAGCGUAAUAGCUCACUGGUCGAGUCGGCCUGCGCGGAAGAUGUAACGGGGCUAAACCAUGCACCGAAGCUGCGGCAGCGAACGUAUCACUUAAAACGCUUAACGUGACGGCAAAGCCGGCAUGUUCAAGCCACACUAAACGUUGAGUUGGCCGAUGUGCUGACAAACGAACAGGCGUUUUAAGGAUACGUUCGUUGGGUAGGGGAGCGUUCUGUAAGCCGUUGAAGGUGGUCUGUGAGGGCUGCUGGAGGUAUCAGAAGUGCGAAUGCUGACAUAAGUAACGAUAAUGCGGGUGAAAAACCCGCACGCCGGAAGACCAAGGGUUCCUGUCCAACGUUAAUCGGGGCAGGGUGAGUCGACCCCUAAGGCGAGGCUGAAAAGCGUAGUCGAUGGGAAACAGGUUAAUAUUCCUGUACUUGGUGUUACUGCGAAGGGGGGACGGAGAAGGCUAGGCUAGCCGGGCGACGGUUGUCCCGGUUUAAGCAUGUAGGCGGAGUGACCAGGUAAAUCCGGUUGCUUAUCAACGCUGAGGUGUGAUGACGAGUCACUACGGUGAUGAAGUAGUUGAUGCCAUGCUUCCAGGAAAAGCCUCUAAGCAUCAGGUAACAUGAAAUCGUACCCCAAACCGACACAGGUGGUCAGGUAGAGAAUACUCAGGCGCUUGAGAGAACUCGGGUGAAGGAACUAGGCAAAAUGGUGCCGUAACUUCGGGAGAAGGCACGCUGGCAUUAGGUAAAGGGACUUGCUCCCGGCGCCGAAGCCAGUCGCAGAUACCAGCUGGCUGCAACUGUUUAAUAAAAACACAGCACUGUGCAAACACGAAAGUGGACGUAUACGGUGUGACGCCUGCCCGGUGCUGGAAGGUUAAUUGAUGGGGUCAGCCGCAAGGCGAAGCUCUUGAUCGAAGCCCCAGUAAACGGCGGCCGUAACUAUAACGGUCCUAAGGUAGCGAAAUUCCUUGUCGGGUAAGUUCCGACCUGCACGAAUGGCGUAAUGAUGGCCAGGCUGUCUCC
rnacentral:rRNA from 1 species